AAGCUGCUGUUCAACUCCUCAUCUCCAGUCCCCAGUGAAUCUCUGGUUCUCAGUGCUAUCAAAACUCUCCGUAAUUCCAGAGAGUCACAGCUCAAUGAAUCGGUGAAGGUGGUGAAUGUCACCUAUGAGAAGAUCUCAGAAACCUCCUAUGCUGUGGUCUUUACAUUUAAUGUGAUUAACAUCAGUAUUCCAGAGGACCCUGCGUCUAGAGGCAACACCUACCUGCAAGUGCAAGAUACCAUCAAUAAUGCGGUAAACUUCAAAAAUGAACAAUGUAAAAAGGAUUAGUUUCAAUGUCAGCCUUCAGGAGAAACUGAUGAAUGGUUUGGUUUUUCCUCCUGCAGCUGAACACUCUUCUGAACGAACCUGGCAGUCC
rnacentral:lncRNA from 1 species